CCGAGUGAGGGCCCUCUGGGUCCAACCUCCCACCCGUGUCUAUUGUACCUUGUUGCUUCGGCGGGCCCGCCGUUUCGACGGCCGCCGGGGAGGCCUCGCGCCCCCGGGCCCGCGCCCGCCGAAGACCCCAACAUGAACGCUGUUCUGAAAGUAUGCAGUCUGAGUUGAUUAUCAUAAUCAGUUA
rnacentral:misc_RNA from 2 species